UAUAUAUAUAGUCAAACAGGCCCUUCACUUUUAAUUAGAGUCAAAUUAAACCUAACUACAUGGUGUUAAUAAACAGUCCUUUACAAUUCCAACUCCACUUCAUCCUCAUCUCUCCAUCUCCACCACUUGUUGCAACUUGACACCCUCUACUUCUUCUCCGGUAGCAUAUUAUCAUAAAAGUCUGGAAAUAAUAGAAUUAAUAAAUCAACACUUGAAUUUAACCCAUUAAAAACAAGAACAUCUCAAUAGCCUCAUUUCCUUUCAAUCAAAAUCGCAUUUUCAAGAUUCAAGAACCCUUUCAAAAAAUUUUGCAUAAUAAACAUCUGUCCCAAAUCUUAAUUAAAAUUCUUUUUUUAAAAAAAAGUUAUUCUUGUUGCACUCAAAGCAUUCAUUAAUGGAUUCAACAUCUCUCUCACAAUGAAAAACCAUAAUUCUUAUACCAAAUCAACUUUCUCACUUAGCCUGAAUCACCAAUUCAAUCAACAUUGAAGAACCACUGCACCAUAUUAUCUUCCUUUCAAUGAACUUCCACUUCUCUCACCAUUAACACCUUCAAAAUUGAUGCUACAUUACAAUAUAUAUAUAUAUAUACUGAUAUGGGAAUUUGGAUUAAAAAUUUGAUAUGGUCUUGAAUUCAAAAGACAAAAAUUGGGAAAGAGGGUUUAGAAUUUGCUUAUUACCUGACCCAACUGAGAUAAUGAAGGAAGAAAUCAUUGAGAUCAGUCAAAGAAUUGAAAGCUAACCCUCACACAUAUAAUACUUCAUAGCAGCAUCAAUAACAACAGGGGAAGCUCAUCCUCAUUCACCAAAAAAUGAUUCGGCCAGCCUUUGCA
rnacentral:misc_RNA from 1 species